rnacentral:rRNA from 1 species
UACGUAGGGGGCGAGCGUUGUCCGGAAUCAUUGGGCGUAAAGCGCGAGCAGGCGGCUGAGAGAGCCCGGCGUGAAAGCCCCCGGCUCAACCGGGGGAGGCCGUCGGAGACCUUUUGGCUAGAGGCCGGCAGGGGUGAGUGGAAUUCCCGGUGUAGUGGUGGAAUGCGUAGAGAUCGGGAGGAACACCAGUGGCGAAGGCGGCUCACUGGGCCGGACCUGACGCUGAGGCACGAAGGCCAGGGGAGCAAACGGG